rnacentral:rRNA from 1 species
GAUGAACGCUGGCGGCGUGCCUAACACAUGCAAGUCGAGCGAAAACAUGAGGAGCGCUUGCCUUUGACGUUGGCGACGGACGGGCGGGUGAGACGUGCAUAACCAACCUAUAAUUCUGGGAGAACUACGGGGGACCAGGUCUAAUACCGGCUAAUAGAUUGAACUGGAUGGCUCAAUAGUUAAACACGGCUUUGGUGUCUGAGAUAGAUGGAUCCGCGCCGCAUUAGCUUGUUGGUAAGGUAACGGCUUACCAAGGCGACGAUGCGUAGCCGAUCUGAGGGGGUGAUCAGCCACACUGGAACUGAGACACGGUCCAGACUCCUACGGGAGGCAGCAGUGGGGAAUCUUCGACAAUGGGCGAAAGCCUGACCGAGCCACGCCGCGUGGGUGAUGAAGGUCUUCGGAUCGUAAAACUCUGUUGUUAGGAAAGAACAAAUGUGUGAGUAACUAUGCACGUUUUGACGGUACCUAAUCAAUAAGCACCGGCUAACUCCGUG